rnacentral:rRNA from 1 species
UUUGGUUAAGUUAGAAAGGGCGCACGGUGGAUGCCUUGACACUAGGAGUCGAUGAAGGACGGGACUAACGCCGAUAUGCUUCGGGGAGCUGUAAGUAAGCUUUGAUCCGAAGAUUUCCGAAUGGGGAAACCCACUAUACGUAAUGGUAUGGUAUCCUUACCUGAAUACAUAGGGUAUGGAAGACAGACCCAGGGAACUGAAACAUCUAAGUACCUGGAGGAAGAGAAAGCAAAUGCGAUUUCCUGAGUAGCGGCGAGCGAAACGGAAUCUAGCCCAAACCAAGAGGCUUGCCUCUUGGGGUUGUAGGACAUUCUAUACGGAGUUACAAAGGAACGAGGUAGACGAAGCGACCUGGAAAGGUCCGUCGUAGAGGGUAACAACCCCGUAGUCGAAACUUCGUUCUCUCUUGAAUGUAUCCUGAGUACGGCGGAACACGUGAAAUUCCGUCGGAAUCUGGGAGGACCAUCUCCCAAGGCUAAAUACUCCCUAGUGAUCGAUAGUGAACCAGUACCGUGAGGGAAAGGUGAAAAGCACCCCGGAAGGGGAGUGAAAGAGAUCCUGAAACCGUGUGCCUACAAAUAGUCAGAGCCCGUUAAUGGGUGAUGGCGUGCCUUUUGUAGAAUGAACCGGCGAGUUACGAUCCCGUGCAAGGUUAAGUUGAAGAGACGGAGCCGCAGCGAAAGCGAGUCUGAAUAGGGCGUUUAGUACGUGGUCGUAGACCCGAAACCAGGUGAUCUACCCAUGUCCAGGGUGAAGUUCAGGUAACACUGAAUGGAGGCCCGAACCCACGCACGUUGAAAAGUGCGGGGAUGAGGUGUGGGUAGCGGAGAAAUUCCAAUCGAACCUGGAGAUAGCUGGUUCUCCCCGAAAUAGCUUUAGGGCUAGCCUUAAGUGUAAGAGUCUUGGAGGUAGAGCACUGAUUGAACUAGGGGUCCUCAUCGGAUUACCGAAUUCAGUCAAACUCCGAAUGCCAAUGACUUAUCCUUAGGAGUCAGACUGCGAGUGAUAAGAUCCGUAGUCAAGAGGGAAACAGCCCAGAUCGCCAGCUAAGGUCCCAAAGUGUGUAUUAAGUGGAAAAGGAUGUGGAGUUGCUUAGACAACUAGGAUGUUGGCUUAGAAGCAGCCACCAUUUAAAGAGUGCGUAAUAGCUCACUAGUCGAGUGACUCUGCGCCGAAAAUGUACCGGGGCUAAAUACACCACCGAAGCUGCGAAUUGAUACCAAUGGUAUCAGUGGUAGGGGAGCGUUCUAAGGACAGUGAAGUCAGACCGUAAGGACUGGUGGAGUGCUUAGAAGUGAGAAUGCCGGUAUGAGUAGCGAAAGACGGGUGAGAAUCCCGUCCACCGAAUGCCUAAGGUUUCCUGAGGAAGGCUCGUCCGCUCAGGGUUAGUCAGGACCUAAGCCGAGGCCGACAGGCGUAGGCGAUGGACAACAGGUUGAUAUUCCUGUACCACCUCUUUAUCGUUUGAGCAAUGGAGGGACGCAGAAGGAUAGAAGAAGCGUGCGAUUGGUUGUGCACGUCCAAGCAGUUAGGCUGAUAAGUAGGCAAAUCCGCUUAUCGUGAAGGCUGAGCUGUGAUGGGGAAGCUCCUUAUGGAGCGAAGUCUUUGAUUCCCCGCUGCCAAGAAAAGCUUCUAGCGAGAUAAAAGGUGCCUGUACCGCAAACCGACACAGGUAGGCGAGGAGAGAAUCCUAAGGUGUGCGAGAGAACUCUGGUUAAGGAACUCGGCAAAAUGACCCCGUAACUUCGGGAGAAGGGGUGCUUUCUUAACGGAAAGCCGCAGUGAAUAGGCCCAAGCGACUGUUUAGCAAAAACACAGGUCUCUGCGAAGCCGUAAGGCGAAGUAUAGGGGCUGACACCUGCCCGGUGCUGGAAGGUUAAGGAGAGGGGUUAGCGUAAGCGAAGCUCUGAACUGAAGCCCCAGUAAACGGCGGCCGUAACUAUAACGGUCCUAAGGUAGCGAAAUUCCUUGUCGGGUAAGUUCCGACCCGCACGAAAGGUGUAACGAUUUGGGCACUGUCUCAACCAGAGACUCGGUGAAAUUAUAGUACCUGUGAAGAUGCAGGUUACCCGCGACAGGACGGAAAGACCCCGUGGAGCUUUACUGUAGCCUGAUAUUGAAUUUUGGUACAGUUUGUACAGGAUAGGCGGGAGCCAUUGAAACCGGAGCGCUAGCUUCGGUGGAGGCGCUGGUGGGAUACCGCCCUGACUGUAUUGAAAUUCUAACCUACGGGUCUUAUCGACCCGGGAGACAGUGUCAGGUGGGCAGUUUGACUGGGGCGGUCGCCUCCUAAAGUGUAACGGAGGCGCCCAAAGGUUCCCUCAGAAUGGUUGGAAAUCAUUCGUAGAGUGCAAAGGCAUAAGGGAGCUUGACUGCGAGACCUACAAGUCGAGCAGGGACGAAAGUCGGGCUUAGUGAUCCGGUGGUUCCGCAUGGAAGGGCCAUCGCUCAACGGAUAAAAGCUACCCCGGGGAUAACAGGCUUAUCUCCCCCAAGAGUCCACAUCGACGGGGAGGUUUGGCACCUCGAUGUCGGCUCAUCGCAUCCUGGGGCUGUAGUCGGUCCCAAGGGUUGGGCUGUUCGCCCAUUAAAGCGGUACGCGAGCUGGGUUCAGAACGUCGUGAGACAGUUCGGUCCCUAUCCGUCGUGGGCGUAGGAAAUUUGAGAGGAGCUGUCCUUAGUACGAGAGGACCGGGAUGGACGCACCGCUGGUGUACCAGUUGUUCUGCCAAGGGCAUAGCUGGGUAGCUAUGUGCGGAAGGGAUAAGUGCUGAAAGCAUCUAAGCAUGAAGCCCCCCUCAAGAUGAGAUUUCCCAUAGCGUAAGCUAGUAAGAUCCCUGAAAGAUGAUCAGGUUGAUAGGUUCGAGGUGGAAGCAUGGUGACAUGUGGAGCUGACGAAUACUAAUAGAUCGAGGACUUAACCAAAUAA